AGUUUGAUUGCUGAAACGAUUCCUCUUUUUUACUCUCUAUAAAACGUAUUUUCAAUAAAUCUCUUCUUUUUCUGGGAAUAAUUUUCGUAGCAAUCCAAUUGAAAAAGACAUUAUAUGUCUUUCUCUAGGUCAGUUUAAUGUCUAUAUUUUGUUUGUUUUGCAGAGACGAACUGCCUUCCAAACAAACGUAAUAAUUCAGCUUCUCCUUUCUACCCAACCGAUGGAUGAUUAUCCAGCCGGAUUCAACAUGCAACCAGUGCUCAAACCUGGCCUCAAGCGCCUAUUUGAUCAUCGGCCGUUUACUAAUGUAGUUGUUCAAUUUCCGAGAAACCUUUCCUCGAUGCGAUGGAGUUCGAGCCAAUUUUCGUUUGUUUAGCGAAGAUUGUUCAGAACUUCGUAGAUGAGAACACCCGGAUAGGCAAACCAAAUAUUAUCCAAAUUGUAAUCUCUAUCUUAUCAGAUUUUGAUUCCAUGCGCGAGCAUCACCGAGAGGAACAUCGUAGCCAACGCGUCGAAGAUAGUAGAGAAGAACAAAUCAGUGAAAUGAAAAUUAUCUCUAAACUAUGAUUCUUAAGUCUGCAAGUCGUAAUGGGAAAAGUCUCCUUCUUUCCAAGCUGCUAACAUUUCUCUUCACCAAAUCUAUGUGACUGAUGAACUAGCACUUGCUAAUUUCAGAUGAAUGAGUACAAUUUUGUUUGACUUAAUGUAUCUUUCGAGUAGAAUUGUGCUUUAGAGUCAUGUGUAUGCUUCACAUUUGUUUCCCUCUUGCAAUAUUUUCAUAGAGUAGUUUUUUUAUUGCGAAAACUCAUUUGUGUCAUAGAAUUGUACAUAUCUAUUGGGUUUUAGGUAAGUGACAAGUUAUUAUAGGGAUAUAUCACACUCUCUCUGUGCAGGAUUGUCUUUCUUUGGUUUAGAGAUACGAUACUACCACUAGCUGUUUUCAUCCAGCUGCCUUACCGUUGGAGUUUUUUCUUUAUAUGUUGGAGUUAGCAUACUCUAUCUCGGUUCCAUGGAAAUUCUAUUAAUGUAAGUUUUGCCUAUCAUGUGUGAAUUAAAAUCUCUGUUUGUAUUUUAAGUUUGAGCUAACAGUUGUCUGCUCCAAAAGUUUUUAAUAGGUUUGUAUCCUAAAUAAUUUUCACUGUGUCCAAAAGCUUCCAGAACAGGUUGUUGUUUCUCUCAUUUGCAGGGAUCAAUUCCUUAUAUCAUGUUUUUGAACAUUACUGUGAACGAUUAGUUUUAGUUCGCUAGAAGUUAGUUUGACCUACUUCCAUUAACUUCUUAGCAAUCAUGAAUAUGUCAGUAUCCCCUGUUGUAGAUAUGGGCUUCCACUGAAGGUGGAAACUUGGGAGUGACAUACACUUAAAUGUUAUCCUCUCAUUGGGUUUUAUAUAUAUGCAUAAUGUACCUAACGAGUUUUCACCGGCUAAUUGGAUAUAGGGUGCUAGCUCUUUGUUGUGUGCAUGAUGCAGAAGCCAAGCUGGUCCUGCUAUGUUCCUGCUACGAAAACUGAUAAACCAUUCAGUACCUCACCUGGUUGGGAGGCAAAGAAUCUGCGAAGCUGAUAGAAAAGGAAUUAACAAGAGUGUAAAACCAAGCUAAUAAACUUAAUUUACAGUUGACAAAAAAAAAAACUUGAUUUACACAGUCAUGACAUCAUUGUUUACAGUUAUGUUCGUGUACUCAUUGUUUUUUCUUUUAUAUUCAUUUCUUUUAAGUAAUUAAAACAAUUAAGAUAGAUCCAGACCAGAUCUUAACUAAAGGUAUUGUUAUACUGGUUUUAGAUGACUCUAGCUUUCUACCUUUCCAUUUGGUUGAGUGUUUUGUUCUGAGAACAACGACAUUUGUUCUGAAGUUUUAAUCAUCA